UAUAGCAUUGGAAAUGUAAAUGAGCUAAAUACCUAAUAAAAAAUGGAAAAAAAAAAAACAACAGGACCCCAUGUGGCUGUAACAACAAUGCCAAUAGAGGUUCAGCCAGCCUGAUUCCAGUGCUGAGAGAUGGUAAAACGUGUGAAUGGUGUGGUUCAAUUGAGCCUGUAAACUAUAGCUGGAUAUAAUCCUGCUACUGGAUGUCUAUCCAGAGGAAAUAAAGUCAGUAUGUCAAAGAGAUACCCACACAAAAAAAAAUCAAUAAAGAAAGAAAAAAACAGCUAUGGGCAGAGGACUGAGGAUAGUAAUACACAUCAGAAGGCUAUCACUGAUGAUCUUGUUGCUGGAUUCUCAGGAGUAACAGAGGAGGGAAAGAGAGUCUACAUUUUUGUUUAUCUGAAGGUCAUGACACAGUUGUUUGUGAAAUAAAAUAAUAUAACAGAAACUUAACAUUAAUUACAUGUGACAACUUCUCUGCAUGAACAGGAGGUUGGAUAUUUGUUCUCUGAUCAGUUUAUCCUAAUACACAGUUUGGAAUUGGCUAAGCUUUGUGACAGUUAAAAAAAAGAGGACUCACUCUGUCUGAUAUUAUCACUUCUCUGUAGCCUGUAAAUCUUGUUCCCUGUCUUCACAAAAGGGAACUUUCCAUAGGUCUAUGUUCCCACUUGGUGCUUGUAUGGAUAGAAGAUGAAGAAUUCUACAGAAUUCAUUUUUGAGAAGUUCAGACCUCAAGAUGCUAUAUAAAUGAUGAAUGGAAGUCUAUUUUCACUAAUUUUACUUUUGCAAAUCAGACUUUUUAUGAGCUACAAUAGUAACAACAAUCCUAUUAAAAGUCUAAAUGUAUUCAAUAUGCAGACUCUAGCAUCAUUUCUUUAUGGAAAGUAGACCUGCGUCAAUUCAUCUUUUAGAUAAAUGUGAUUCACAAUUCCUCUCCUUUUGUACUGUUCUUAUUGCUUCAUCAUUUCACAGCCUUAUUCUUCUGCCUCUAUUCCAUGAAUAAUGAAUACAACGUUUUAAUGAUUCUUGUAAAUAGAGACCGUAUUUUUUUCUCAUGAAGCACGAGGAAAAUAUUCAUAAUAUUUUAUUUCUGCCAUUGUGCUUGAGAUUAAUAGCACAAUUUCUCAUCCACAAAGUUUAUUAUAGGUCAUAAAAUGAACAGGAUCUCUUUCCUGAUUGGCUGAGGAGGAGAGUUUAAUCUUAUGUAAUUAUCUUUCAAAUCACACAUGCAUCCAUCCAAUAAAGCUCUCUAUUAGAUCACUGAACCAUUUCACAUGAUCUUAAAAAGAUUAAUAUUCAUUUAAACUUUAUAUACCCCUAAAUAUAUCUCUACAUGAUAAAUUUCUUUUUUAUUAAAUACUCUUUUCUUCUUAUUAUUUUUUAAAUUUUACCUGUGUUGGUGCCUCUCCUUGCUUGCAGGUCUAUGGUUAGGUGUAAGAUCACUAGGAACUGAAGUUACAGACUGUUGUGAGCUGCUAUCUUGGAGUUGGGAAUUGAACCCGUUUCCCCUGGAUGUGUAGCCAGUACUCUUAAACACUGAACCAUCUCUCUGGCCUGGUAAAUUUC
rnacentral:lncRNA from 1 species